rnacentral:rRNA from 1 species
AUUGAACGCUGGCGGCAGGCCUAACACAUGCAAGUCGAACGAGUGGCGGACGGGUGAGUAAUGUCUGGGAACCUGCCUGAUGGAGGGGGUUAACUACUGGAAACGGUAGCUAAUACCGCUUUCCAUCAGAUGUGCCCCGAUGGGAGUAGCUUGUUGGUGGGGUGACGGCUCACCAAGGCCACGAGCCCUAGCUGGUCUGAGAGGAUGACCGGCCACACGGGAACUGAGGGACGGUCCAGACGCCUACGGGAGGCAGCGGUGGGGAAUAGUGGACAAUGGGCGCAAGCCUGAUGCAGCCAUGCCGCGUGUAUGAAGGAGGCCUUAGGGUUGUAAAGUACUUUCAGCGGGGAGGCGUUACCCGCAGAAGAAGCGCCGGCUAACUACGUGCCAGCAGCCGCGGUAAUAC